ACUGUUGCCCCAACAACUACAACAGUUGCCCCAACAACUACAACAGUUGCCCCAACAACUACAACUGUUGCCCCAACAACUACAACUGCAGCAGCAACAAAUACAACCUUGUUAUCAACAUCGUCUGCUGCUCCCACAUCAAUGCUAACAAUUACAUCUGCAGCUCCUCGUCCUACAGGUCAAACUUCUAACGGUUUGGAGUAUCUGGCACAUCUAAACAUGAAGUUACGAUCUUAUGGAGAGAUCAGCAAUGCAACCAUAGUUCAUCUCAUUGAACAGUUUUUCAGAGACCAGCUCCUUAAUGGAUCCGUCCACAGGGUGACUGUACGAAGCAUUCAACGGGUUAGAGUUAACCCAUAGACAAAAACAGCAUCUACAUGACAUUCUCUCUCUAUUAUUUAAUCAAUUUUAUCAAUAUAUUGGAAACAAUAAGUAUUAAUGAUAUUUCAAGUCAAGUUUGAGUGUCUGAACCUGGAAUUAGCUACAGGAUGAUGUUUAACCAGUAAAUAUUAUCCAUACUGAAGUUGGAACACCUUAAAUUUAGGUCAGAAAACCGUCACCCAGUCUAAAACAGUUAGAAGUUAUUUUUGUUUCAAUAUCAGAGUCUGGAACAGAAAAUCUGAGUUUUCCCAGAAUUAACUUAAUCAGUUUAUAAAUAACCUGCUUUCUGGAAAACCCUUAUGAAAUACCAAAGUUUGUGUAGAUUCAAGGUAACUUAUGAACUCAUUGAUUUUGCUUUUCACAAUUGACUAUGCAAAGUGUAAAAAUGUGUCUUAGUAUAAAAAUGUGAUAAAUCAAAGUUAUUUAAA